GCGCGGCCGACCGGACCGGGGCUCACUCGGGACUGUGGGCGUAUGCUGGGUAACCCGGGAGGGAUAAGGAAACUGAAGCAUAGAUGUUAACCCACGUUCCCAAGUCACAAGACAACUUGGAACCACUGCCUGGUGAGCUGAGGCAGGGACAGAGCCCUGUGGACUCUCAGAAGCACCACAUCCAGGGUUGAGUCUCAGUCCUGUGAGCAGGAUCUGGGCAGAAGAAAGGAGCCCUCAUUUCUCCGUCACCCUCACAGGAAGUGAGCCUCUGCAACAGGUUGCUGGGGACAAGAUGAGAAAUGCUGAUGUCCUGCUGUGCAUAGGAAAUAGCCCUCCAACUGGGAGCUGCGGGGAGCGGGAGCCCUGUGCUCUCUCUUGGCUGUACUGGUCUUGAGUGUUCAUCUUGCCCCGGUGGGAGUGGGGGAAGGAGGAGUGGGUCUCAGUUUAAAUACCAUAGACUCUUAGUGUUUGUACUGAGUUUUAGUAAUUUUGUUUGUUUUGUUUUAGUAAAGGUUUCU